rnacentral:lncRNA from 1 species
UCUCAAUUAUGAUCUUUAUGUAACAGGUCAGAAUUGAACUGUUUUAUAGUGAAAAAUAUAUAUCUAUUUCUAAUCAAUAUCUCCUCAGGAGGAAAGUAAGAAGUUUAUAUGUUAACAAAUUGUGUACUCCAAAGAAGUAUGACUCACACAUAUUCUGAGUAGAAGCUAUCAAUUUGGCCAAAACAUGACAUUCCACAGCUAUGAGAGAGUUAAUGAUGUAUGGUCACUUGGUCAAAGGUUGGAAACUCGACCCCCCCCCUUCCAGAACACUUGUAAUAACUUUGCCAAACAAACCCCAGAUUGUAAACAUCGGAUAAGAACCCCCAAAACAAAAGACUUCCUGUCUCCCUCCCAAUAACCAGACCUAGCUUUCCCAGAACAGGUUAUGUGUGGUAGCUAUACCACCGUGAGAGUGUAGCUGUUAUAAAAGAAGGCAGAGGUAUUUGACAGAUUCACUCCUGUACUGCACCCCAUCCAUGGGGCAGGCAGGGAGGUCGACUCUGCAAGCUUUUGGUGUAACAUGUCAUUAUAUAGGUGUUGACAAAUUACAAUCAACAUGUAAGAAGCGGGAACGAGAGGAAACGGUCCUCUAGGCCAGAUUGCCAGGGCUUUAGCUUACUUUAGCUUAGUUUACUUUGCACCUGAAAUAAAAAGAACCGCAACACAA